GUAAUGCAUCGGAACGUGCCCAGUCGUGGGGGAUAACGCAGCGAAAGCUGCGCUAAUACCGCAUACGAUCUAUGGAUGAAAGCGGGGGACCGUAAGGCCUCGCGCGAUUGGAGCGGCCGAUGUCAGAUUAGGUAGUUGGUGGGGUAAAGGCUCACCAAGCCAACGAUCUGUAGCUGGUCUGAGAGGACGACCAGCCACACUGGAACUGAGACACGGUCCAGACUCCUACGGGAGGCAGCAGUGGGGAAUUUUGGACAAUGGGCGCAAGCCUGAUCCAGCAAUGCCGCGUGCAGGAAGAAGGCCUUCGGGUUGUAAACUGCUUUUGUACGGAACGAAACGGUCUGAGUUAAUACCUCGGGCUAAUGACGGUACCGUAAGAAUAAGCACCGGCUAACUACGUGCCAGCAGCCGCGGUAAUACGUAGGGUGCAAGCGUUAAUCGGAAUUACUGGGCGUAAAGCGUGCGCAGGCGGUGAUGUAAGACAGUCGUGAAAUCCCCGGGCUCAACCUGGGAAUUGCGAUUGUGACUGCAUCGCUGGAGUGCGGCAGAGGGGGAUGGAAUUCCGCGUGUAGCAGUGAAAUGCGUAGAUAUGCGGAGGAACACCGAUGGCGAAGGCAAUCCCCUGGGCCUGCACUGACGCUCAUGCA
rnacentral:rRNA from 1 species